CGCGGGGUGGAGCAGCCUGGUAGCUCGUCGGGCUCAUAACCCGAAGGUCGGCGGUUCAAAUCCGUCCCCCGCAACCA
rnacentral:tRNA from 7 species